UGUGGGAGCGGGCUUGCUCGCGAUGCAGGCAACUCGGUCUAUCUGGUAUACCGAGGUGAUGCUAUCGCGAGCAAGCCCGCUCCCACA
rnacentral:misc_RNA from 1 species